UGUGCUGCGGCCACAGAGUGACAGUACCAUGGGGCAUCUCCCCUCCCCAGGCCAUGGAGCAAGGCCUGCCCCACAUGUAGUGGGUACAGGACGCAAAUGCCACAGGACCUGGGGGCAGGGAAGCCCAGGGAUGCUGGCUGAAAGCGCUGGGUCCUCGUCCCCAGCAGAACUCUGCAAGGCGUGACUGUCGCACCAGGGUGUUACUGGACUCAAGGACAUAGCGGGGAAGGCGCCGGGCAAGUACAUCACAGUCACUGGAAACGCUUUACGGUGGUCCCCAACUUGAUGACAAGGGACCUGCCAAAUCCAUCCCUCCAGCGCAGGGAGCUCCACCUGACAUGCCUGAAAGGGCCCCAGCAUCCACCAGGUAGCCUGCCAUCCUGGGCACCAGCAAGACCCCCUCCUCCUUCCUCUGUCCCUCUAGGCCCACAUGGGGAGAGUGACUUCCUGCUCUCGCUCGUGCCCUGAUUCUCUGAGCGCCCUGUAUUUAGCCUCUCACCUCCUCCCACACCUGCAGAAACACUUCCCUGCCGUGCAUCCUCCAUUUGAAACAACCAGCAUGGAUUCUGCUGUCCUGGUCAGACCCUGGCUGAAACAAGAGGUCAGUAAGUCUGUGACUCCCCGUCUCCAGGGAGGCAGAGACCAUGACAUGGGUAGACGUACAAGGUGCGUGCUGUGGACAGCACAUGUGAAAGGAGGAGAGGGAGCAGGCGCCGGAGGAGAGAGCCUGAUGCCAGGGAGUGGGUGGGGGCGGAAGGAGCCGCAGACUGUGGCGGCGCGCUGGGGGUGCCUGGCCGGCUGUAGGGGGCCCUGCCCCAGGCGUGGCCAGGCCCUCACGGCCCCUGGGCCCAGAGCCAGUCUGCGGCUGCCAGCAAGGGGCAGCCGGGCCACACACAGGAAAGGGCCCUGCAGCGCGUUCCCACUAGAAGGAGAUCCAGGUGGCCCCCCUCCAAGCUACAGCAGCGAGCGGCUCUUCUGCAAAGACUAUCCCAACUACAUCUUGAUUGUGUCCUGAAGGAACGCUGCCUGCGUUGAAAGCAAACAAUGGGGGCUUUGUCCCGAGAGACCGGUGUCCGUGGUUCCCAGACCAAACUCUCUUCUCCAUGGACACUUUUACAUAGAUGAUUAAUCACAUGAGUCACAGCGGAUGGGAUGCUUGGGGGUUAGGGCCCAGCUGGGAUGAGUUAAAUGAUCUACAGAAUGCAGGGAAAUAUUUUAAGAGAUAAAUCUCAUCCAGUUGUCAAUUGGAACAUGGGAAACUAUGCUCUAAAAUUGAUGUCAGCCAGAUCUAGCUGCUGGGCCAAAAACCUCCUGCUCAGAUGUAGGAAACCCACUCUUUUUAAUCACAUAUAAUUUACAUCCAACAACAUGCACUCAUUUUAAAUGUCUCUGUCAAUGAUUUUUGAUAAAUGUGUUCACCUACAUAUAUUAAGUAGGCAUUUUGAUGUGUUUCAACAAAUGCACACAGCCAUGUAGCCCCCACCUCAAUGAAAUAUAGGACAUUUCCAUCACCCGUAAAAAGGCCUCUAUGUCCCUUCCCAGUCAACUCAUACCCUGAGCUCCAGACGACUUACCUAAACUAAUAGAUUUGUCUGCUACGGAAUUUCACAUAAAUGGAUCCACGUUCUCUGUGCUCUUGUGCAUGUCUU